rfam:Macaca mulatta chromosome 6, whole genome shotgun sequence.
GCUGGGUGUGAUGGCUCACGCCUGUAACCCCAGAACUCUGGGAGGCUGAGGUGGGGGGAUCACCUGAGGUCAGGAGUUUGAGACCAGCCUGACCAAUAUGGCGAAACCCCAUCUCUA